UAGAGUUUGAUCCUGGCUCAGAACGAACGCUGGCGGCAGGCUUAACACAUGCAAGUCGAGCGCCCCGCAAGGGGAGCGGCAGACGGGUGAGUAACGCGUGGGAACGUACCCUUUGCUACGGAAUAGCUCCGGGAAACUGGAAUUAAUACCGUAUGUGCCCUACGGGGGAAAGAUUUAUCGGCAAAGGAUCGGCCCGCGUUGGAUUAGCUAGUUGGUGGGGUAAUGGCCUACCAAGGCGACGAUCCAUAGCUGGUCUGAGAGGAUGAUCAGCCACAUUGGGACUGAGACACGGCCCAAACUCCUACGGGAGGCAGCAGUGGGGAAUAUUGGACAAUGGGCGCAAGCCUGAUCCAGCCAUGCCGCGUGAGUGAUGAAGGCCUUAGGGUUGUAAAGCUCUUUCACCGGAGAAGAUAAUGACGGUAUCCGGAGAAGAAGCCCCGGCUAACUUCGUGCCAGCAGCCGCGGUAAUACGAAGGGGGCUAGCGUUGUUCGGAAUUACUGGGCGUAAAGCGCACGUAGGCGGGCAUUUAAGUCAGGGGUGAAAUCCCAGAGCUCAACUCUGGAACUGCCUUUGAUACUGGGUGUCUUGAGUAUGGAAGA
rnacentral:rRNA from 1 species